AUGCCCAGCUAAUUUUGUAUAUUUAGUACAGACGGGGUUUCACCAUGUUAGUCAGGCCGAUCUCGAACUCCCAACCUCUGGUGAUCCACCCGCCUUGGCCUCCCUUCUCCUUUUUCUUUCUCCCAAUAACCUUUCUGUCCACAGCUGUACUCUGCAGUAGCCACACUAGCUUCCCUCUGCUUUUCCUGUGUGAUAAAUCAC
rnacentral:lncRNA from 10 species